UUUUCUUUAGAAAAAAUUAAAGAUAAAGCCUGCUCAAUGUGAUAAUAAAUAGCCGCGGUAUCUUAACUGCGCGAAGGUAGCAUAAUUAAUUGUCUUUUAAAUGGUGACUUGUUUGAACGGCUUACUGAGGGUUUUUCUUUCUUAAAAAUUUAAGAAUUUAUUUUCUAGGGUUAAAAAACCUAGGUCAAAAAGAAAGAAGAGAAGACCCUGAUGAGUUUUACAGUAACUAAUUCUGUUUGAAUGGGGCAUUCCGAUUUUUAUUAAAUUCGUUUGUGAUCCUACUUUGAGGAUAAAGGUUAAAAUUACCACAGGGAUAACAGGACAAGCUUUGCUGAGAGUACUUAUUAAAGCAAAGGAUUGUUACCUCGAUGUUGAAUCAAAAUUUACUAAUUGGUGCAGAAGUUAAUAUAGUAGGUCUGUUCGACCUUUAAAUUUUUACG
rnacentral:rRNA from 1 species